rnacentral:lncRNA from 1 species
GGGCCGACUCAUGAGGUCUGGAUGUUUCUGACUUGAAAUUUAUGAAGGUCUUGACUUGAGUUGGGAUAUCUCCCUAUGAUCGAUUUGUUACUAACCACUCAUUUAGAGGUCAUAGUAGGAGCUAGGAUAUCUCUGUAACAUCGGUUCUCUUCGACCAAGUUCUCAGGGGUUUUGGUUAGAGCUUGGAUAUCCUUGGAUUGAUUUUUGUCCGACCUUCAUUCAUCAAAGAUCAAGCU